AUAUUUUUGAGUUUGAUGAUGGCUCUGACUGAAUGCUAUCUAAGUGCUUAACACAUGCUAAUCGUACGUCAUUAGAUAAAAAUAAUGAAGUGGUAAACAGGUGAGUAAAUAAUAUUUUGACUACCUUAAGGAAAGGUUAAAUACCUAAAAAAGAAAAAAAAUUUUCGCUUUAAGAUGUUAAUAAAUAUUUCGGCUAAUAGUAGUUAAAUUAAUAAAAUAACUAAUAAAGCCGUAGUCGUAACUGAGAGGUUGAUCGAUCACAUUAGGAAUGAGAAACUCCUAAUGCGUUUUAGUACAGCAGUGGGGGAUAUUGGUCAAUGACCUAACGGUUGAACCAGCAACUUGGAAGAAUGUUAAAAAUAUAUUAAUUUAUUGAUAUAUUUAAUGUAUACACAUAUAAAGUUCUAAAUAGAUUAAAGAUAAUGACAAUUAUCUAUUUAUUAGUCUUGACUAAAAUUACGUGCCAGCAGUCGCGGUAAUACGUAAAAGACAAGUGUAAGUCAUCUUAACUAGGUUUAAAGUGUAGAUAGACGGAAAAUUAAACCUAAAAAAAGGUACUUUUUUUCUAGAGUUAUAUGUAAGAAAAUUGAAUUUCCAAAAAAAAACGAUCAAAUGUGCUAAUAUUGGAAAGACAGGUAAAGGUUAAUACGACUUUCUUUGUAAUAACUGACGUUGAGAUACGAAGGCUUGGGGAGCGAGCAGGAUUAGAUACCCUAGUAGUCCAAGCAGAGAAUUCUGAAUGUCAUAUGUGAAAGCAUAUAAAUAAAAGUGUAAGCAUUCCACCUCAAGAGUAAAAUGGCAACAUUAAAACUGAAAUCAUUAGACCGUCUCUGAAAUCAGUAGUGAAGUAUGUUAUUUAAUUCGAUAGUCCGCGAUAAUCUUACCACAAUUUGAAUAAUAUUAAAAUAUAUUACAUGCGCUGCACGGCUGUCUUUAGUUUAUGCUGUGAGGUUAGAUUAAGUUCUACAAUAGACGAAAACCUUAACAUUAUUUAUAUGUAUAAUGUAGUUUGUUCUAUAUAUUGGAACUAUAUAUAUAGGAUUAAGACAAGUCAUCAUGGCCAUAAUAUUGUGGGCUAUAGACGUGCCACACUUAUCAUAACAAAAGGAUGUGAAAUUGUAAAAUUAAGCUAAUCCUUAAAUUUGAUUCAUAUGGAUUGUAAUCUGAAACUCGAUUACAUAAAUAAGGAAUUACUAGUAAUCGUUAAUCAUCACGUAACGGUGAAUUUUUCUCAGUUAGGUACUAACCACUCGUCAGGCGCUGAAAGAAAAAAUGCAAAAAGUUUGAUUUAUGUAUAUAAAUAAUUAUAAAAAUUGUUAUAUAUUAUAUAUACAUAUUAUUUUCGAAUGUAUGAUUUUAAUUGGUGUUAAGUCGAAAUAAGGUUCGUGUAAUGGAAAUUGCACGGGGUUAAUUAAAUAA
rnacentral:rRNA from 1 species